rnacentral:rRNA from 1 species
CACGUAGGGCGCAAGCGUUGUCCGGAAUUAUUGGGCGUAAAGAGCUCGUAGGCGGCUUGUCGCGUCGACUGUGAAAACCCGCGGCUCAACUGUGGGCUUGCAGUCGAUACGGGCAGGCUAGAGUUCGGUAGGGGAGACUGGAAUUCCUGGUGUAGCGGUGAAAUGCGCAGAUAUCAGGAGGAACACCGGUGGCGAAGGCGGGUCUCUGGGCCGAUACUGACGCUGAGGAGCGAAAGCGUGGGGAGCGAACAGG